ACGCCGAUUACCUCGCUUCCCUCCCCAAGACGACGAUUCAGACGAUUCGUCGCUCCCAAUACGACGAUUCAGGCAAUUCCUCAUUCCCUAAGAUGACGAUUCACUCGAAUCAUCAAUAUAUUAAAGCGAUGUUCCAUCAUCUUCUUCAAUCUUCCUUCGUCAUUUCUUUAAUCGUACUUCCAUCUCAGAAAUCUUCCUUCGUCAUUUCUUCAAUCUUCCAUUUCCAGGGAUAGUGGUUUCCUGGCACUAGAAUAUGCCAUUCAUGGUCAGAGAAAGUAGAAGCAUGUAACUUUGAAGUUAUGGUCUCUUAAAUCAUUAGUAGGAAGAGGUGCCAUGACGUCACGGAUGAUAAAUCAGUUCGUCAAAAGUCCUUGAUUAUCUAAGCAUUUUAAGACAAAGAGAGUAUUCUGUGCAGCUCAAUGCUUCUCGGGUCAAAGUUCUUCAAGCUUGUGAUGACUUGUUUAGUGCCAUGAGAGAGACUACAUCAAAAGAUCUUUUGAAUGUCAGCCAUUACAAGUCCCAUCACCUUCACUAUUAUAAAGGACAUUUGAGAGCUCUAAUUAUCCAGAUUUGCAAAUUGUUGUUUGCUCAGGUUGUUGCUUAAACAAACAUGAUAUCAAUCGAUUGAUUGAAGCAGUCGUGAUUCUUAAACCAAAUAUAAAGAGCAGAUCCACCACCAAGUGCCUGCUUAUGUGGCAUUAUCCAGAUAUAUAUCAUGUGGUAAUACAAAAGUAUUAAUGAAACUUAUCAAAAAGUUCAAUUAGGAAGGAGUCUACACAUCAAAAUGUGGUGCAU